rnacentral:rRNA from 1 species
GAUGAACGCUGGCGGCGUGCCUAAUACAUGCAAGUCGAGCGAACAGACGAGGAGCUUGCUCCUUUGACGUUAGCGGCGGACGGGUGAGUAACACGUAGGUAACCUACCUAUAAGACUGGGAUAACUUCGGGAAACCGGAGCUAAUACCGGAUAAUAUUUCGAACCGCAUGGUUCGAUAGUGAAAGAUGGCUUUGCUAUCACUUAUAGAUGGACCUGCGCCGUAUUAGCUAGUUGGUAAGGUAACGGCUUACCAAGGCAACGAUACGUAGCCGACCUGAGAGGGUGAUCGGCCACACUGGAACUGAGACUCGGUCCAGACUCCUACGGGAGGCAGCAGUAGGGAAUCUUCCGCAAUGGGCGAAAGCCUGACGGAGCAACGCCGCGUGAGUGAUGAAGGUCUUCGGAUCGUAAAACUCUGUUAUUAGGGAAGAACAAACGUGUAAGUAACUGUGCACGUCUUGACGGUACCUAAUCAGAAAGCCACGGCUAACUACGUG